ACAAUCUACUUUGAUUGUGUUAGUUCGUGAUGUGAGCAACGAUUUGUGUGCAUUAUACUCUACGUGCCAACAGUACAUUAUUCAUGUGCAUAGGCCAGUAUCCUCAGUAAAUACCAGAUUUAUUUGAGGGCCUUAUGAAAUUAAAUGCUUGUAAAGAAAAACAUUAUGCAAAUUAAUUGCUUUGUUUUAAUUUUUUCAGGAACUAAUGAAAAGAUAUGAGAAAUCCAACAAAAAUAUUAAACAUGUGCAGUUUGUUGUUGACCUUGCAUCAAGUCGAGGCAACUAUGUCGUGGACGUUGAUGGCAACCGUAUGCUGGACAUUUUCAUGCAAAUUUCAUCGUUACCUUUAGGUAAUUUAUUUGAUAAAAUCAAAAUGUAUAAAUAAAAAAAAGCAUCCAACUAGUCAUUCAGAGCGUAAAAAACGAUAUGCAAUAUGCAGGCAGAGUAGGAUGCCUGCUGCCGCUUGUAUGCACUCUAUGACCUGGUACUGCACUGCACACGAUGGUAUGAUGGUAAAGAAAAAUAAGGAAACCUACUGCACUGUACUAAAGUAUAUUGUAUCAUGUGAAAAUCAGACAAACAAAUCGUGUGUAGUGCAGAACUGGAUAAUAUAGUCCAAACAAAGGACAUUGGGUAUCCUACACUAGGGAGCAUUGUAUUUACAAGCAGGUGUACACUAUCUUGUUUUAUUAUACUCUU